GGCCCCCUAGCUCAGUGGAUUAGAGCGUGUGAUUCCAGUUUGUAGAACUUCCACAAGGUCAUCCGUUCGACUCGGGUGGGGGUCA